rnacentral:rRNA from 2 species
UGGCGGCGUGCUUAACACAUGCAAGUCGAACGAUGAACCACUUCGGUGGGGAUUAGUGGCGAACGGGUGAGUAACACGUGGGCAAUCUGCCCUUCACUCUGGGACAAGCCCUGGAAACGGGGUCUAAUACCGGAUAACACUGCGGAUCGCAUGGUCUGCGGUUAAAAGCUCCGGCGGUGAAGGAUGAGCCCGCGGCCUAUCAGCUUGUUGGUGAGGUAAUGGCUCACCAAGGCGACGACGGGUAGCCGGCCUGAGAGGGCGACCGGCCACACUGGGACUGAGACACGGCCCAGACUCCUACGGGAGGCAGCAGUGGGGAAUAUUGCACAAUGGGCGAAAGCCUGAUGCAGCGACGCCGCGUGAGGGAUGACGGCCUUCGGGUUGUAAACCUCUUUCAGCAGGGAAGAAGCGAAAGUGACGGUACCUGCAGAAGAAGCGCCGGCUAACUACGUGCCAGCAGCCGCGGUAAUACGUAGGGCGCAAGCGUUGUCCGGAAUUAUUGGGCGUAAAGAGCUCGUAGGCGGCUUGUCACGUCGAUUGUGAAAGCCCGAGGCUUAACCUCGGGUCUGCAGUCGAUACGGGCUAGCUAGAGUGUGGUAGGGGAGAUCGGAAUUCCUGGUGUAGCGGUGAAAUGCGCAGAUAUCAGGAGGAACACCGGUGGCGAAGGCGGAUCUCUGGGCCAUUACUGACGCUGAGGAGCGAAAGCGUGGGGAGCGAACAGGAUUAGAUACCCUGGUAGUCCACGCCGUAAACGGUGGGACUAGGUGUUGGCGACAUUCCACGUCGUCGGUGCCGCAGCUAACGCAUUAAGUUCCCCGCCUGGGGAGUACGGCCGCAAGGCUAAAACUCAAAGGAAUUGACGGGGGCCCGCACAAGCAGCGGAGCAUGUGGCUUAAUUCGACGCAACGCGAAGAACCUUACCAAGGCUUGACAUACACCGGAAAGCACCAGAGAUGGUGCCCCCCUUGUGGUCGGUGUACAGGUGGUGCAUGGCUGUCGUCAGCUCGUGUCGUGAGAUGUUGGGUUAAGUCCCGCAACGAGCGCAACCCUUGUUCUGUGUUGCCAGCAUGCCCUUCGGGGUGAUGGGGACUCACAGGAGACUGCCGGGGUCAACUCGGAGGAAGGUGGGGACGACGUCAAGUCAUCAUGCCCCUUAUGUCUUGGGCUGCACACGUGCUACAAUGGCAGGUACAAUGAGCUGCGAAACCGUGAGGUGGAGCGAAUCUCAAAAAGCCUGUCUCAGUUCGGAUUGGGGUCUGCAACUCGACCCCAUGAAGUCGGAGUUGCUAGUAAUCGCAGAUCAGCAUUGCUGCGGUGAAUACGUUCCCGGGCCUUGUACACACCGCCCGUCACGUCACGAAAGUCGGUAACACCCGAAGCCGGUGGCCCAACCCCUUGUGGGAGGGAGCUGUCGAAGGUGGAACUGGCGAUUGGGACGAAGUCGUAACAAGGUAGCCGUA